rnacentral:rRNA from 1 species
AUUGAACGCUGGCGGCAUGCUUUACACAUGCAAGUCGAACGGCAGCGCGGGGCAACCUGGCGGCGAGUGGCGAACGGGUGAGUAAUAUAUCGGAACGUACCCAAGAGUGGGGGAUAACGUAGCGAAAGUUACGCUAAUACCGCAUACGAUCUAAGGAUGAAAGCAGGGGAUCUUCGGACCUUGUGCUCCUGGAGCGGCCGAUAUCUGAUUAGCUAGUUGGUGAGGUAAAGGCUCACCAAGGCCACGAUCAGUAGCUGGUCUGAGAGGACGACCAGCCACACUGGAACUGAGACACGGUCCAGACUCCUACGGGAGGCAGCAGUGGGGAAUUUUGGACAAUGGGCGAAAGCCUGAUCCAGCAAUGCCGCGUGAGUGAAGAAGGCCUUCGGGUUGUAAAGCUCUUUUGUCAGGGAAGAAACGGUGAGGGCUAAUUCCUUCGCUAAUGACGGUA